AUUGAGAUUAUAAAGUGAUAUCAAAACUUUAUGUAUGAUUAAUAGGAUGUGACUAAGUGAAGUAUAAUGGAUAAUAUCAGAGCUUAAGAUUAUGAUCAUUAAGGACGUGAUAGAAUGAUAUAAAGUUUAGGUUAUGAUCACUAGAGAAUAUGACUUAAGUGGUAUUUGAACUUAAGGUUAUCAUUAUUCGAGAUUGUGACUUUAGUGAUAUUUGAACUUGAGGCUAAGAUUAUGAGGAACAUGAU
rnacentral:lncRNA from 1 species